AACGCUAGCUACAGGCUUAACACAUGCAAGUCGAGGGGCAGCAUGAACUUAGCUUGCUAAGUUUGAUGGCGACCGGCGCACGGGUGAGUAACGCGUAUCCAACCUUCCGUACACUCAGGAAUAGCCUUUCGAAAGAAAGAUUAAUACCUGAUGGUAUGAUGAGAUUGCAUGAAAUCAUCAUUAAAGAUUCAUCGGUGUACGAUGGGGAUGCGUUCCAUUAGAUAGUAGGCGGGGUAACGGCCCACCUAGUCGACGAUGGAUAGGGGUUCUGAGAGGAAGGUCCCCCACAUUGGAACUGAGACACGGUCCAAACUCCUACGGGAGGCAGCAGUGAGGAAUAUUGGUCAAUGGGCGCGAGCCUGAACCAGCCAAGUAGCGUGAAGGAUGAAGGUCCUACGGAUUGUAAACUUCUUUUAUAAGGGAAUAAAGUCACCUACGUGUAGGUGUUUGUAUGUACCUUAUGAAUAAGCAUCGGCUAACUCCGUGCCAUCAGCCGCGGUAAUACGGAGGAUGCGAGCGUUAUCCGGAUUUAUUGGGUUUAAAGGGAGCGUAGACGGGUCGUUAAGUCAGCUGUGAAAGUUUGAGGCUCAACCUUAAAAUUGCAGUUGAUACUGGCGUCCUUGAGUACGGUUGAGGCAGGCGGAAUUCGUGGUGUAGCGGUGAAAUGCNUAGAUAUCACGAAGAACUCCGAUUG
rnacentral:rRNA from 1 species